CGGCGUGCCUAAUACAUGCAAGUCGAACGCACUCUCGUUUAGAUUGAAGGAGCUUGCUCCUGAUUGAUAAGCAUUUGAGUGAGUGGCGGACGGGUGAGUAACACGUGGGUAACCUGCCCUAAAGUGGGGGAUAACAUUUGGAAACAGAUGCUAAUACCGCAUAAAACCUAGCACCGCAUGGUGCAGGGUUGAAAGAUGGUUUCGGCUAUCACUUUAGGAUGGACCCGCGGUGCAUUAGUUAGUUGGUGAGGUAAAGGCUCACCAAGACCGUGAUGCAUAGCCGACCUGAGAGGGUAAUCGGCCACACUGGGACUGAGACACGGCCCAGACUCCUACGGGAGGCAGCAGUAGGGAAUCUUCCACAAUGGACGAAAGUCUGAUGGAGCAACGCCGCGUGAGUGAAGAAGGUUUUCGGAUCGUAAACUCUGUUGUUGGAGAAGAAUGUAUCUGAUAGUAACUGAUCAGGUAGUGACGGUAUCCAACCAGAAAGCCACGGCUAACUACGUG
rnacentral:rRNA from 1 species